AUAUAAAAAUAAUAAAGAUUUCGGCUCUUUAAGUGCCAAAAUAAUGGCUUUUAUAA
rnacentral:tRNA from 1 species